rnacentral:lncRNA from 1 species
GCCGCUUGCGCGCUCUCAUUUUUCGGUCGUUGGUCCACGGUGUGCGGGCUCUGCGCGCGCCAUGCACUUUGUCCAAAGUAUCUGCGGCAUAUGCUUUCGCGGGGCCCCAGCGCCAGAGUGAUUAAGCGACCACUCGAUCGCGUGCAAGUUCCCAGGCAACCUGGCCAAGUGCGUUCGGGCCAGUUUCAAGGCUGAACGCCAGCUGAAGGACUUCGGCCUCGGUGCGUUGUGCGGCGGCCCAGCGCUCGCCGCCGAAGGAGUCGACCGAGCCGCCCCGAUUCUCGCAGAUAUUGGGAUUGCUCGGAGGAACCUUUCGCCGCCGGCGCUCAAAGCCAUGGCAUGCGCUCUGUCCUACUCUGGCGUCAAGCUGUCCCAGAUUAAGAACCUAAUUGAGAACUGCCAGUUGCUACCCUGGCCUUGAAAGAGGACCACACAGCAUGGCUUCCCGUAACGGGAGAAGGAAGGUGUGAAAAGCGCUGUGAAAUAUAAACGUAUACCCUAGCAUUUCUCGUGGUAGACGUAGAGCACUAGUCAUAAUGCGAUCGACACACUUGAUCCGGUGUAAGAGAGAUGGUCACUCUUUUGUAAUCGAGCUGACCGGACAUUGAGACCUCUCGGACAGGCUGGACGACGUUUCGAGUAAUCAACUUGUCGUUGUGAGUAGAUUGUCAUCAUUCUGAGCGUUGUUUACGCCUUGUGGUUUUUGUCUUACGUUCGUGGCGCUGCUUGUAACGUGUUGGUGCUCUCUUACUCCACUACAAGCUAAACUACUGAGGUCACCUCGAUUAUGCCGUGUAGCCAACA